AACGAACGCUGGCGGCGUGUCUUAAGCAUGCAAGUCGAACGAGAACCAAUUAGUAGGGGUUUUAGUUUUAUCAAACCCCUACAGGGGGAAGUGGCGAACGGGUGAGUAACACGUGGGUAAUCUGCCCUCGGAUGGGGGAUAGCACUAGGAAACUAGUGGUAAUACCGCAUAUUAUCACACUUCUAUAAGGUCGUGUGAUGAAAGGUGCCCUCUGCAUAUGGUACCGUCUGAGGAUGAGCCUGCGGGCUAUUAGCUUGUUGGUAGGGUAAGAGCCUACCAAGGCAACGAUGGCUAGCCGGCCUGAGAGGGUGUACGGCCACAUUGGGACUGAGACACGGCCCAAACUCCUACGGGAGGCAGCAGCUAAGAAUCUUCCGCAAUGGGCGAAAGCCUGACGGAGCGACGCCGCGUGGACGAUGAAGGCCUUCGGGUUGUAAAGUCCUUUUCCUGGGGAAGAAUAAAGUCGAGAGUAACUGCUCGAUCGAUGACGGUACCCAGGGAAUAAGCUCCGGCUAAGUACGUGCCAGCAGCCGCGGUAACACGUAAGGAGCGAGCGUUGUUCGGAAUUAUUGGGCGUAAAGGGCUUGUAGGCGGUUAUGUAAGUCGGAUGUGAAAUCUCCGGGCUUAACCUGGAAAUUGCAUUCGAAACUGUCUAGCUAGAGUGCCGGAGAGGGAAAUGGAAUUCCUGGUGUAGGGGUGAAAUCUGUAGAUAUCAGGAAGAACACCGGUGGCGAAGGCGAGCUUCUGGCCAUAGAUUGACGCUGAGGCGCGAAAGCGAGGGGAGCGAACAGGAUUAGAUACCCUGGUAGUCCUAGCCGUAAACGUUGUGCACUAGGUGUAGGUGAGUUAAUUCACUUGUGCCGCAGCUAACGCAUUAAGUGCACCGCCUGGGGAGUAUGCUCGCAAGGGUGAAACUCAAAGGAAUUGACGGGGGCCCGCACAAGCGGUGGAGCAUGUGGUUUAAUUCGAUGAUACGCGAGAAACCUUACCAGGGCUUGACAUAUUUUAGACGUUCACAGAGAUGUGGAUUUCUUCGGGGACAUUUAUACAGGUGCUGCAUGGUUGUCGUCAGCUCGUGUCGUGAGAUGUUGGGUUAAGUCCCGCAACGAGCGCAACCCUUACCCUUAGUUGCCAGCGGGUUAUGCCGGGAACUCUAAGGGAACUGCCAGUGAUAAACUGGAGGAAGGUGGGGUCGACGUCAAGUCAUCAUGGCCCUUAUGUCCUGGGCUACAAACGUGCUACAAUGGCCGGUAGAGAGUGAUGCGAAGCCGCGAGGUGGAGCUAACCGCAGAAAGCCGGUCUCAGUUCGUAUUGGAGUCUGCAACUCGACUCCAUGAAGGCGGAAUCGCUAGUAAUCGUGGAUCAGCAUGCCACGGUGAAUACGUUCCCGGGCCUUGUACACACCGCCCGUCACACCACCCGAGUUGGGGGUACCCGAAGUCGCUAUCCUAACCCUCUGGGGGGGAGGCGCCGAAGGUAUGCUUGGUGAGGGGGGUG
rnacentral:rRNA from 1 species